UGUGUAGGCGGCCAUGCAAGUCGGAUGUGAAAGCCCCGGGCUCAACCCGGGAAGUGCACCCGAAACUGCACGGCUUGAGUAUCGGAGAGGUUGGUGGAAUCUCGGUGUAGAGGUGAAAUUCGUAGAUAUCGAGAGGAACACCGGUGGCGAAGGCGGCCAACUGGACGAAUACUGACGCUGAGACACGAAAGCGUGGGGAGCAAACAGGAUUAGAUACCCUGGUAGUCCACGCCGUAAACGAUGGGUGCUAGGUGUCACGGGCAUUGACUCCCGUGGUGCCGUAGCCAACGCAUUAAGCACCCCGCCUGGGAAGUACGGCCGCAAGGCUAAA
rnacentral:rRNA from 1 species